CUCGGGGCAGGGUGUCCCUCGGUCCAGAUUGUGAGAGGGCACAGGCCAGGUCGAGGGAGCCCACUGCUGCACG
rnacentral:pre_miRNA from 1 species